AUUUGGUAUCCCUCUACGUGUCUAUCUCUGGAAGCCCACAAAAAAUUUAGUCUCCUCUCUUUCUUCUGGUUCUGUCACGCUGAACCUCCCAUCGAAUUUCUCCGGCGAGCCGUCGUGAUCCACCCUCGGCGCGCCUACUCUGCUUCCUCCACUCCAUUUUGUUGCCCCUGCUCUUCCCCCACAAUGCGAACACUCAAGCUCCACAACCCAUCAUGUGAGAUCCCCGCCACCGAGGGCUGUCGCCGCCGCGCGCCUGGGGGCUGCUGCUGCCGCCGUCGCGGCCCUGUGGCGGGGCACAGUCUACGUCGGGGCGAAUCACCGGAGAUUGGAAUUUUGAAGAUCAGGACGCGUUGUAGUAGGAGGUCGAGAUACCAGAUAGUCGGAGGCGGAGAUGGGAUGCAGUAUCCACCGCUCCAUUUCCAUUUGCGCCGCUUUCCACCAUCAACCCUAAGCUUUGAUGGCCCGAGAGGCCGCCGGGCCUAGCCCCUCCGCUCCUCCCUCUCCAUGCCGCCGACGGGCCGCGCUGAUUGGCGAAGCUUGGUUGGCAUCACGGGCCCUUCUCUCUGCCCCGCUUGGUGGUGGACGGCACGAGACGAGAGUGCUGUUGCGCUGGCGUACUGCGCGAUGGCGCGGCGGCUCGGUGGCGAGUGCUGGAGCAUGGUUGUCAGCUCUUGUGGUGGAGUGGUAGCCGUUGGUCAUCGACGCGGAUGUUUCGCGGAGGUGGCGACCGUGGCUGCUGCGGCGGCCGAUCUGGUUCCGCACAAAUCUUGAUUUCUCCCUUUGCGAGCCCUUGGUGGUUUACGCUGGAGGCUGGCGGUUGUGCGGGGAAUCCGAGUCAGAGAUGGCUGUGGUCGGCGCUUACCGGCGGCCGGCGGCCGGCAUAGCCGGUUGACUGGGUGGCCCCCGUCGAGAUAUGAAGAGGCCAUAUAUGGAGAAUUGGAGAGUCCUGGGCUCAGCUGCAGGGGCGGGACGUCUCCUCCUCCUUACUCGGGAUCGGCUUUCCCCGCACGUGGCUUGGUGCGUGUCCACUGGGCAGCCAUGGCGGCGAUGCUUCUUGGCUUUGACCUCCGUAUAACCAUGCCUUGUGGUGGGAUCUGGAGGCUCAGCUGUUGUUUUGCCUUCGCCAUCCAUAGGCGUUUGUAGGCUGCUCUGCUUGAUGCGAUGGUCGAUGGGAGUUCCUCUGGUUGUGGCUAGGUUGUAUCUCUCUCUGGUUUGCGUCCUUGCCUGAGGAAUUCGUUAGGUGAUGCUAUUGAUGGUCCGGCUUCUGCAGCCUGCGUUCCAGUUUUGCUUCUGUGGUAGCUCAACUCUUUGAAAGCAUGUCCAGCAAUUCUGCAGUCCGUAUGAGCGCUCGCGGGCUGGGAUUCCUCUAGGCGAGUGACCGGACGAUUGUAUUGCCGGCUAUCGUCAAUCAUUCUAUAUGAAAUUUCAGCCAAAGGUAUCGUCAUUUAAUUAAAAUGGGCAUGUUUAUUUUUCUCUGUACACAUCAUAUAUACCAGCAUUGCAUGAAUCCUUGGCGUUGCUGAAAGCCACGACCCGGACGACGACCAGGGCGCACGUUUCUGUACGAGUUCUAUAACUGGUUGACUACUUUGAGCGAUGGAGGCGAUGCACAUGGUGGCGCUUGAGAUCAGGUUGUAACUGAGGAGUAGGCAGACAGAGAGCUAGCAACGAGCGGGAAGAACCAUGACAAGCUGCAAGCGGCCACGUCCUUCCCGAUAUGAAUGUUUCUGAUGCAUUAGACCACUAGCGGUAUGGAUUCCUGAAAUUUUGUUUGCCUUUUUUCUUUUCUUUUCUUAACCGUAUAUGCUUUUGAAUAUUCUGGCUGCUACCAAUUGGUGAACACCAACCUUUUGGGUUAAGGGACCUAAUAAGCGCAUUGGGGUACUGUCUGUUCAAAACUUAUUUCAGGGUAUGUUUUUUCACUGUGAUGUUUCCAUUUAAUGUACACUUCAGUAGUACAUCUUACUGAUCUAGGAAAUGUUAUUCAUACAUUGUAUAGAGUGCAUGCUAAAUAUAGCUAAAAGAACUGUAAAGUGUAGUAUGCACUGGAAUCCCAAUGUACACCAAUUAACACAUGACAUGCUAAUACUUGGUGCUCAAAUUGGUGGUAUCCUUAUUCAUCCAUUCAUUGACAAGUACACUAUUAGGUAGUCUUGCUAUCCAAAAUUUCAGAUGUCCUCUGAUUAGCUGAUAGUUCGGGCUAACCUUUUUGGGUGCAUAAUAAUAAUUUAUAUACCGUUCCUUAUUGAUCCAAAAAUACCUGAUUUUGUCGGUUCCAAUAUGUCAGGCCAUAUAUGGUUAAAAAAUUAUGUCUUGCCUUUCCCUGGCUGUUGUAAAGUUGAUUAUGUUAUUUUUCCUACAAUGUGGUCGCCGCUGUCGCCAUCUCUGUUGUUCUUUCAUCCGGUCAGGUAUUCCUCCUUUUUAAGUUAGUCCAUGCUAUUCCGUGCUGAUGUUUUAAUUUCCCUGUUCUUUGGUUGUCCGUGUUGUUUUCUCCUCUGGUUCGCCUAAACCCACGUCUGAUGGGCAUUUCGAACAUCAUUUGUGUUCCCUCCUUUUUCUCGUGGUUUCCUGGCAGCUCUGCCCACGGGUACUCAAUGCUUAACCUGCAGUACAAAACUAGGCGUAUUAUUACGUUUUAGGUGUGUAGUGUAAGUGCCCCCUCAGUUCUUGUUUGUCCUGGCUACAUUUGUCUUGAUAUUGGUAAAGCACAGUUUGUAGAGGUGUGCAUCUGUGUGAGCAGUUAGGUCAGGUAACUAUUCUUAUAAAAUUUAGUCCAGGCUUUGAAAAGAUUAGCCGGGCCAUGUCCAGACCAUUGCUUUAAAAGAAUUAGUUGUUCCCAUUCCACUUUCCAAAAUAUAUGCUUCUUUAUUUAUGGUUGGACACUAGACAGUCACUUGGACAAUUAGUCAUUCUUGAUUGUAUCCUGAUUUUUUUGUUAUACUGUGUUCAGUUGUUACAACUAUUACUUCUGCUAUGUUAGGAAUGGAUAUUGGAGCUAGCAAAUAUUCUAAAUUAAUUGGGAUAAUUUUUUUCCUUUAUUGUUGAGUUCUCUUUAUGCAAUCCUUAGUUACCUCUGACAAGCAUAGUUUCCAUUUGCAUAGUUUCUACAAGCUUGAGAUAAUCACUCUUCAGUUUGAUCUGCUCAUGAAGUUCUACUCCCAAAUAGGUUGAUGUGUUUUUCUAUUUUGAUUGCCUAAUAUAUGUUUUGCUAGCUACCCCAACCUGCUUGGGACAAAAGGGUUUGUUGUUGUAAUAUAUGUUUUAAAUUAAUUGGGAUAAAAAAAUUUCCUUUAUUGUUGAGUUCUCUUUAUGCAAUCCUUAGUUACCUCUGACAAGCAUAGUUUCCAUUUGCAUAGUUUCUACAAGCUUGAGAUAAUCACUCUUCAGUUUGAUCUGCUCAUGAAGUUCUACUCCCAAAUAGGUUGAUGUGUUUUUCUAUUUUGAUUGCCUAAUAUAUGUUUUGCUAGCUACCCCAACCUGCUUGGGGCAAAAGGGUUUGUUGUUGUAAUAUAUGUUUUGUUAUUAUUAUUAUUUACUUAAUAGCUGUCACAGUAUUGCCAUGUUGAGUUUAUUGUGUGUGGUGCGAGAUAUUAUUUUGCAAGUAACUCUUGACAUGGCACCCUCUGGUAAUGGAAAUCUUAUAGAGUAGAAUACAGUUGGUUCAUAAUUAAUGAUGAGCUUUCCUAGAUCAAUCGUGCUCUCCAAGUUACUGUUUUUCUUAUAUGUACUGAAGACCAUUUUAUUCUAUUGUUUUUUCCUUAUCAUUUUGGCUUGCGUGACUGUGUUUUUGAAUUAUUGCAACUACUUUUCUAAAGGUUGGAAGGAUCUAGCAGAAGCGUGGAUACAAAGACCAGUGGCCUUGGAACAUUAAGAUCUAUGCUGACGAUUCUGGAAGAAACAAAGGAGACGCUUGCCUAGCUUAUGAAGAUCCUUCUGCUGCUCAUGCGGCUGGUGGAUUCUACAACAAUUAUGACAUGAGAGGUCAUAAAAUUAGCGUUGUGAUGGCUGAAAAAUCGGCUCCCAGGGCUCCAACAUCUGGUCAUGGAGGUGGACGUGGUGGUGGUGACUAUGGAGGGGACCAACACAGAGACGGAGGAGGCCAUGGGCGUAACAACCAGGGUUGUGGUUCGUGUUCCUGGCCAUACUGGGAACACAUAUAAUUAAUUAAGAUUGUCUUUUGUGAGAAACCUUUUCUAUUUAUGUUCUUCAGACUUGUACCCACACAGGAACUUAAGGUAGGAGGUUUUUCUGCUUUCCCUGCACUUCUGUUCCAUUGUCAUACUCCAGUGUUGGUUGCCAAAAGUGAUCGGUCUAUGUUAUGUGAUUUUUUUCUUGGAGGCAGCUGGAUAAGCUCCAAAUGUUGGUAGGUUUUGAGAUAUUAUUACAGGUGAGUGCGGUCUAUUAUGAUAUAUUACUUUUCUCUCGAUUGGUGGUUAGCUACACCGUUUUAUCUGUUUCCCUUUUUGAUCUAAUGUGUACAUUCCACAUGGUACUUAACCGGUGGAUCACUGCUGUAAGCUUUGGAUUUCUAGGCUCACUUUCACUCUCCUCUGCUUAAAUAAGAACAUAGAUGUAGUCAUAUUUUUGGAAGUUCAAGUAUAAUUUCCUUAUCUCAGAUGAGAGAAGAGGAGGCUGACAGAAAAAACUAAGUGGACUCACAUUUUGUAUAAAAUAGUAAACCUUCUUUCUUUAACUAGGCCAUUGUACACUUUGCUAAAAGCAUAUAUACCGCUCAGUUUUAUGUUGUAAAAUAGAUGUACAGGAUUUGAUAUGACACAGACGGCGCGGCGUGCCGCCGCGCCCAUUCCUGCUAGUACUAUACUAAACCUGAACUAACUUCUUUUUUGUGAUAAUUUUGAGUUUAUUUCAUGGGUACCUGUUUUGCUGACACGUGUAUUCCUGCUCUAUUUGCAUGCUCAUAUUUCUUCUUCCUGUAUGUCUCGGGGACCCGCAGUGAUUUGGAAAAUUUUGAUUCAUGUGUUGCCGACACUGGGAUUCACUGAUGGGCCGACUUGGUGUGUUUUUCUGGUGUGUGGCCGUAGCUAUGAUCUGUUGAGACACUGGUGGGCUAUCAUGACGAUUUGUCGGAUACAUUUAAUUUAUUUUGGUUGGCACGUGAUGGGCUGGAUCAUUAUACACCGCUUUCACUGAUGUCUCGAACCUAGCCACCAGAAAUUUCUCGAGGGCUCCGAGGCGUAUCGUGUUGGACGCACAUGCUUUGCUCUGAGGUCUGAGCCAUUUGGUGGCGGCGGCACCGGCGAACGGUCGCCGGAUCGAUGGCGGCGAUGUCGUCUGGCGGCGGCGGACAGGGCACACGGCGGGGCGGCGCUACAAAGUGAGAGGGAGGGAAUGGAGGGGUCGACGAGGACCAUAAGCUCAUCACGAGCGCGUCGGGGAGGUAGGGGAGGCGGGAGGUGGUCGGCGCGGCGAAGCUUGGCCGGCUGCAGGGAAGACCGGCUCAGUUUUGGCAGUAGGGGCUUCCGGGCUUGCUCUGCUUGGCGGGGAUGAUGCGUACGAGGUGAUGGUGCUUCCGAGUUCCGAGCGGCCCGGCGGAGCUCGGGGAGGCCGGCAGCCACGGCGAUUUGCGGAUGGGGGAAGCCAACAGCCGGUCGAAGAUUCGAUGCGAGGGUAUGCCCUUCUCUACCUUUGCUCUUUCUUUUAGAAAAAAUACUCCCUCAUGGCCGACGAGGUCGUCUUGGUGCUGCCCUUGUCGUCGCUGCACCAACCGGUUGCUAGGUGACGGAACUCGAGUCGCCGGGAUGCACCGCCGCCGCCGUCCGUGGUCAUCCAAGCAGAGGGACGCGGAGAUAUGGGUGGAGAGGGACGCGGAGGGAGGGCGAAGAGGGCCGCUGCAGGAGAAAGAGAAUGCUGGGGCUUGGUCGUCGGGGCCGGUCGUCGCCGUGGUCGUCGUGUUCGUAUGGUACGGGAGAGGAAAAGAUCCACUUCCAUGUGUCGCCCCCUUCCUCCCGUUCCUAGCUCUUUCCUAGCCACACCGACAUUUCCGGGACUGAGACCACCCAGCAGCCGCCUCUGGCAAGAUCGCAAAUUGGCAUAUAUUCAAUGGGUACUGACCGGCCAGCAAUAGAAGAGGUGUUUAUCAGUGACAUUCAGUAGUCUACAAGAGUCAGUGCACUGCUACAUUAUUGCUUCACGAUCACAUGCUUUCUUGAUUGGUCGACAUCUACUCAGGUAGUUCUUGAUGCUAGCAGCAGUAGAUAGUUCUUGAUGCAGGCAACGGUAGAUUUAAUGCAUGUUCAUAUAUGUCCAUGCACAUGUCAACUGAAGAGGAAAUUGUAGUGUACGUUGUCUAUCAGAAACAAGCAAUGCUCACUCUCGGGUAACAGAACAAAAGGGGUUAUGAGUUUUUGCUCUUUGUUUUGUCUCCUAUGUGGGAUUUCGACCAGAUUUAUAUGGGAUUUGGGUGUUCUGCAUAAAUGCUUCAGUCUUGCUGUAGUCAGGGUCUUCUGCGAGGCGGGUGAAUUUGGCUUCUUUGUCAAUUUGAGGCGCUGGUACUGGCUAAGUUCUUCUCCAUCUGCAUCUGUUUUUGGUUUUUGUUAGUUUUAGAUGAGGUAGCAGGAUUUUGCCAUUUAGACAUUUUCCUGCUGUAGUCGGGGUCUUCUGCGAGGCGAGUGAAUUUGGCUUCUUUGUCAAUUUGAGGCGCUGGUACUGGCUAAGUUCUUUGCCAUCUCUGCAUCUGAUUUUGGUUUUCGUUAGCUUUAGGUGAGGUAGCAGGAUUUAGGCAUUUUCGGGGUGAAUUUUAUAGACAAGUUUUGAUUGACAAUGUAGUGUUCUGCAGUAGAUAUAUCUUCAAUUUCUGGGAUCCUAAUGAUUGCUUGGUUCUGUUUCUAAUAACUUGUGUUUUCUGUUAAAACAUAGAAUGUUUUAUGUGGAGUGGAAUCCCAGCUUUUGUUUUGGUAAUAUGUUUUCUGUAAAUAUUUUGCAACUGCUAUGGAUUCACCUACUAAUAAUGUAGUCAAUGUCAUGUGGUUUUCUCUAGAAAUCCUCGAGAUGCAGGGAAGUUUGAAAGUUAUGAUACUAUGUGCAAAAAAAAUGUAGCAUGUGGCUGAUGCAGAUUUAUUGUAUCCUCCAUGACAAAUUAGAUACUUUGGGAGACUUAUGUAACCUAAGUCUUGAAUUUUAUUAUGGUCAGCAUGCGCAUAUUUGGUUGUUGUUCUAUUGCAUGGUCAUAGGCGUUUGGCGACAGUCAUAUGGUCGGUGUAAAUAUUAGUCCCUCCUUAGUCCUGAUGAUGAUCGUGUUCAGUUCAGGGCCUAUGAUGCUUCCUUUAGCUUCCUACAAUUUGACAGAAUUGCUCAUCAUAUAGUUAUAAUUAGAAGAUCAUAUUCUCAAUUUAUCGCAUAUGCUUGCUUUUCUACACAAUUCUGUUCCAUUUGUUGCAGAUUCAAGGAUUUAAAUUAACAAGAUAUAUUCUUGAUGGGGAUUAAGUAUUGUAUCAUUGUAUUUGAGAUUUUAAAUGAUCUGCCUGCCACUGUUCAGAUCACAUCUUCCUUUGCUAGAAGGUGAGCUGAUUCUAACUUUCACCUCAAGUUGCUCCCGUCCUUGACCUUGUGAAUUGUUAUUUCUAUAGGGUUCUCAAGUAAUUUGUUCAAAAUAAUACAGUAGUCAGUGCACGAGAAUAAGGCGUCACUGCAUCAGUUGCAGUUUUUUGUGCCAUGCACACGAAUUAAAGAGAUCCUGUUUCAACGUAUUACUCCACGGUAUUCAACUACUGCCUGAUUUCAAGAUGAUUUUUUUUGCUAGAAACAGGACAAGUAUUGCUCUUACUUCAGUAGCAGAGGCCUCAAAACAUCCCAAAUAAUUUUCCGAAUAGCUUUUGUCAUGUUCUCGAGCUAACUCGCUGGAUCUGGUUAGUGCAGGUUCAAUGUUUUUGUAAGCGUGCCUCCUAUUUUAUUUUGUGUUCAAGGGCCAUAAUCGAGUAAACAUAGGCAAAUGAGAGCUAAAAUUUCACGUUUAAUAUCAAUUCGACCCACAUGCAAGUUAUAUAAGUAUUUAUUAUAUGCAAUGCUAUCGGGAGACCAAGCACUAUUCCAGCUCUGUUAUAAAAUAGAGCACCAUGUCAGCAAACUGACUUUGUGUUCUACCUGAACCAUGCAGUUCCCAGAAACUUUUGGCUUCAGUUUCACAUGGUUUGCAAGCAAGGUUCCUAGAAAGUUUCAGAUAUGUGUGUUUUGGAGGACCACAUCAGAGGGCCUUCACUUUUUCAUUGUAAUAAUCGGAAUUGCAUUCAACAAUUUUUAAAUAUCUGAACCAUGAACUGCCAUCUUCUCAUUGCUUAUCUCUCAGUAUUAAAUUAGUCAAACUGUAAUGUCAACAUAUGAUACAAACCUUGCUUGCAGAGUUAUUACAGAAUAAACUUAGCUCUAAUAUUUGUCUUUCUUGGAUUUACUUCUUUUUUAUUGCAUUACUACCUGUAAACUCUUUUUGAUCUACUUGCAUUAGUUUCUGUCUCCAAUAUAUAAUGGUCACUUCUACUUUGGUUUUCAAGCUAAGCCUGAUUCCUUGUCCUGGAUGUGCAUGAGAAGGUGAGAACAUGAGUUUUAACCUUCAGAGCCACCUGAGUAGCCUUGGCAUUUCUGUACCUGCAAGGUUAAAUCGUCAUGCAAAGUUUUAUUGUGAUGUGCAUGUAUUGUGAAAGCUGAACAGCCGAGCCAGUUCACUACUUCCGGUCCUAUUAGUGUUCAGUCAUGUUAGAAAAAAUACAGUAUUAAAUUAAAUUUCACUUCAGAACAUGAUCACUAAUUUCUUUUUUUAUUACUAAAUAGACGGACAUAACAUCAAAAAAGUAGUCGAACUUGUGUAUUUCCCGUUGUUGUGGUUAUUUGUCUUCUUCAACUGAUCUUUAGGAGUGCCUUAUAUAUCGGAAAUUCAAUUCGGCUCCCGGGUGCGUAUGCUCCCUUAUAUAUCCACUACCUUCUGUAGGGGUUUGAGGCAAGGAUUAUACCCUGAAGUGUUUUUAUUCCAAAUCUAUGCAUGGUCAACAAUUUUAACCAAAGUUAUUGUCCUAUUCGCAUGUAAUUUGUUGUUACUAUUGUAUUCCAUUCGUGUGAUUGAUCUGUAUGUAUCUCAUUAAUGACUUAAAGAACAGUAAACAAGCAAAAUGGAAAGGUGUGAUGUAUCAGUUCACCUCUUUUAUUCAUUACCAGGUUCAUUCACCACCUCUAGCUG